rnacentral:rRNA from 1 species
UGGGGAAUUUUGGACAAUGGGCGCAAGCCUGAUCCAGCCAUUCCGCGUGCAGGACGAAGGCCUUCGGGUUGUAAACUGCUUUUGUACGGAACGAAAAGGCUCUGGCUAAUACCUGGGGCUCAUGACGGUACCGUAAGAAUAAGCACCGGCUAACUACGUGCCAGCAGCCGCGGUAAUACGUAGGGUGCAAGCGUUAAUCGGAAUUACUGGGCGUAAAGCGUGCGCAGGCGGUUAUGUAAGACAGAGGUGAAAUCCCCGGGCUCAACCUGGGAAUGGCAGUGGAAACUGGCGGGCUAGAGUACGGUAGAGGAUGGUGGAAUUCCCGGUGUAGCGGUGAAAUGCGUAGAGAUCGGGAGGAACACCAGUGGCGAAGGCGGCCAUCUGGACCAGUACUGACGCUGAGGCACGAAAGCGUGGGGAGCAAACA